rnacentral:rRNA from 2 species
CGCGAUCUCUACUCAAGUCUAUAAAUGACUCUCGACAACGGAUAUCUCGGCUCUUGCAUCGAUGAAGAACGUAGCGAAAUGCGAUACUUGGUGUGAAUUGCAGAAUCCCGCGAACCAUCAAAUCUUUGAACGCAAGUUGCGCCCGAAGCCAUUCGGCCGAGGGCACGCCUGCCUGGGCGU